rnacentral:lncRNA from 1 species
AGAUUUUGAUGGAGGUUGCUUCAAAGGCAUAUCAGGGAGUGUGUCAAGCUUGUUUCUGAGGUGAUUGAGUUUUUCCACGCAGAUAGCUUUCUUUGGAACUUUUGGUGGUAUCUCAAUGAACACUCCAUCUUUAACACACUCUAUAGGGUUUUUUUCACAAUCGGGGUUAGGUUGCUCUCCACUCAGCUUGGGUGGCUCACAAGGGGUGGUAGUUGCUUAUUUUCUCUCUCACCACUGCACUGACAACCUUCUCAUACAACCCAUCAGAAACCUUUUCAUACAACCCAUCAAAUUUUCACUACUUGAUCACAUUCCCAAC